CCUGCAGCUUGGUCUGAUGGUAAAUGGAUAUGAACAGUGUCUCCAACUUGUAAGGGCAGCACUGCACUCCCUGAUGCCUGAUCCAGGUUUACCCAUGUGCAUGGGUGCCUGUGGACGUUCUUUUGCAUACUGUGGAAGCAAAGGCAUCUCAUUUCCAUAUGUCGUGUCCUCUCAGGUAUCUCCUGAAGCUGUGAUGCAUGGGAAACCCAGCAACUUUCACCCAACCGCUAGCUGCGCUACAAUCCAAAAAGUUACAAAUGGAAUUGAUGGAAAAUGGAAAAAUCUCAAAGGGGGGCUACAAUGGUGUUUCAUGUAUUCAGAGUUGUUCACAGUAUUAAAGAGAUGGAUUCUCAUGUUAAACAUGGCCAAAGUUUGAAAAAAAAAACUGUGCCGAAAAUCUUACUUCCGGGUUGGCACAAGUUUUUUCCCCUAAUCUUGGAUCUAAUGAUGUAGACGAUGGUGAAACUCCUUAUAUGAGCAUUUUUAUCGGAAAAGCGCGCCAGCGCACACAUUAACCAGAGGAGAGCGAGACCGCGCACAUCAACGCACCUCAUCUGGAAAUCAUCGCCAGCGCUGCACAGGAUUUGUUCGCGAAUAUCUCCAAAUAAGUGUGUUUUUGGAUGUGAGGGAAAGUUUACCAGGUUCAGCUUCCCCAAGAACCCAUAGUUACAGUACAUGAACAGUGGAUGCAGUUUGU